UACGAAGGAUCCUAGCGUUGUCCGGAUUUACUGGGUUUAAAGGGAGCGUAGGCGGACUUUUUAAGUCAGUGGUGAAAGCCUGCAGCUUAACUGUAGAAUUGCCAUUGAAACUGAUUGUCUCGAGUGCGGUUGAGGUCACUGGAAUGUAUCAUGUAGCGGUGAAAUGCUUAGAUAUGAUACAGAACACCAAUUGCGAAGGCAGGUGACUAAGCCGUAACUGACGCUGAGGCUCGAAAGCGUGGGGAUCAAACAGG
rnacentral:rRNA from 1 species